rnacentral:rRNA from 1 species
CCUACGGGUGGCAGCAGUGGGGAAUAUUGGGCAAUGGGCGCAAGCCUGACCCAGCAACGCCGCGUGAAGGAAGAAGGCUUUCGGGUUGUAAACUUCUUUUCUCAGGGACGAAGCAAGUGACGGUACCUGAGGAAUAAGCCACGGCUAACUACAGGCCAGCAGCCGCGGUAAUACGGAGGCGGCAAGCGUUAUCCGGAUUUACUGGGUGGAAAGGGCGUGUAGGCGGGAAAGCAAGUCAUAUGUUAAAAGCCUGGGCUCAACCUGUGGCCUGCAUUUGAAAAUGUUUUUCUUGAGUACUGGAGAGGCAGACGGAAUUCCUAGUGUAGCGGUGAAAUGCGUAGAUAUUAGGAGGAACACCAGUGGCGAAGGCGGUCUGCUGGACAGCAACUGACGCUGAGGCGCGAAAGCGUGGGGAGCAAACAGGAUUAGAUACCCGGGUAGUC